rnacentral:tRNA from 2 species
CGGGCUGUAGCGCAGGGGCUAGCGCGGGUCGUUCGGGACGAUCAGGUCGGUGGUUCGAAUCCACUCAGCCCGA